UUGACGUAGUUUCCGGGGAAGGUACCAAAGAAUUUGGUUCUUCUUGAGGUUCCUGAAAACAGAAGUGAGUAAUGAAAGGAUGGUAAAAAUAAAAUUGCCUUUUAAGUGGGAAGAAUGGAACUUCUCUCCACUUCCAACGUAAAUUAAAGCUAAGGGUGUUGCUCUGUUUCCCAGGCUGGAGUGCAGUG